UACGGAGGGUGCAAGCGUUAAUCGGAAUUACUGGGCGUAAAGCGUGCGUAGGCGGUUCGUUAAGUCUGUUGUGAAAGCCCCGGGCUCAACCUGGGAAUGGCAUUGGAAACUGGCGGACUCGAGUGUGGCAGAGGGGGGUGGAAUUCCGCGUGUAGCAGUGAAAUGCGUAGAGAUGCGGAGGAACACCGAUGGCGAAGGCAGCCCCCUGGGCUAACACUGACGCUCAGGCACGAAAGCGUGGGGAGCAAACAGG
rnacentral:rRNA from 1 species